rnacentral:rRNA from 1 species
GAUGAACGCUAGCGAUAGGCUUAACACAUGCAAGUCGAGGGGCAGCACGGACUAGCUAAUAGUUUGGUGGCGACCGGCGCACGGGUGCGUAACACGUAUGCAACCUUCCCAUAAGCGGGGGAUAACCCGGAGAAAUUCGGACUAAUACCGCAUAACAUAUAAUAGUGGCAUCACUAUUAUCUUAAAGAUUUAUCACUUAUGGAUGGGCAUGCGCAUGAUUAGCUAGUUGGUAGGGUAAUGGCUUACCAAGGCAACGAUCAUUAGGGGUUCUGAGAGGAAGGUCCCCCACACUGGUACUGAGACACGGACCAGACUCCUACGGGAGGCAGCAGUGAGGAAUAUUGGUCAAUGGGCGAGAGCCUGAACCAGCCAAGUCGCGUGAAGGAAGACUGUCCUAUGGAUUGUAAACUUCUUUUAUACAGGAAUAAAGUGGGUUACGUGUAACCUUUUGCAUGUACUGUAUGAAUAAGGAUCGGCUAACUCCGUG